GGUUUGUUAAGUCAGAUGUGAAAGCCCUGGGCUCAACCUAGGAAUCGCAUUUGAAACUGACAAGCUAGAGUACUGUAGAGGGGGGUAGAAUUUCAGGUGUAGCGGUGAAAUGCGUAGAGAUCUGAAGGAAUACCGGUGGCGAAGGCGGCCCCCUGGACAGAUACUGACACUCAGAUGCGAAAGCGUGGGGAGCAAACAGGAUUAGAUACCCUGGUAGUCCACGCCGUAAACGAUGUCUACUUG
rnacentral:rRNA from 1 species